UCUUUCACUUUUCUCCCAACCAAAAUCAACGAAAGAAAACUAAAUUCCUUUUAUUGAAAUGUAGGUUUCUGUUGGGUAAUUGUCAAACGUUUCAGCUUUCCUUAAAUAAUUUCUUUCUCUGUUUUCCUCUUCAACUGACUGUCCCUCUCUCUCUUCAUCUCAUCGACCAUGACAACGUGAUCCUCAAGUUGAUUGAAGAAUAAUCAGUCUGGGAUAGUAAGGGAAAAAGUAAAGGUUGAAAGGCCAAGUUGUUUCAAGCAGCUUUUGAAGGCUUUCAUGUUGAUGGGCUGUCACCAUAUGGUAAGAAAAUAGCAGCCUCCUCAGGUCCUUGUCCUUGAUGACACAAGCCACAUUUCUUUGCCAUCUAGCAUGGAGCUUCCAAAUAAUAUGACAUCAUAUGAGUCCAAUUUACGCUUGGGUCUGCCAGAUUUGGGAAUUGGCUCAACUUUUAGUGAUGGGUUUGAUUUGGGUUAUUCUUCAAUGGCCCAGAACUUUAUCAAUGAUGAUGAUUCUUCUGACUUCAAUUUGUAUCUACCAUCGAAGAAAAUGAGAACAUCUUGAUCGAACUUGGAAGAAAUAUUCCUCCAUCUGAAAACAACCUUGAAACAAGUUUCUUCUUCACUGUUUCCAUUCGAUUUCUUUUGCAUUUGAUGCCAAGGUAUGUCUCCUUUUUAAGUUGCAUUGUUUCAUUUGCAUCUUUGGGUGCUCGUUCAUUGGAUUGGAUACCAACCUAAUUUGAAUAAGAACUAACACAAAAAAAAUACAAAAUUGAUGAAAGAAAUUAAUCAUGUGAUUUGUUGCUAAACUCUAUGUCUUUUAAGGGUAAAAGUUGUUUCCCAAAAUUAUUCUAUAAAAAAAUCAAUGAAGUUGUAGAAGGCAAUGGACAAGUAAAAUAUUAAUAGCUAGUAACUAUACAAAGAUUUGGAUUUGGGCCUAAAAUGUAUUGUUAAAAAUGAAACCAACAGGUUACAGACCCAAUGGAAUCUCUUUCCACAUAAUUACAAUAUGGAAGAUGAGGCUCAUCUUCCAAUUGUUAGACAAAUUAUAAAAAUAAGCCUUUACAUGUUCAUCACUUCAUCGCAUAAUCUAUCUCUAUCACUCUGAUAAUGAAGUUACUCAUACUUCUUGAUGGAUUUAAAUUUUUAGUUCUAAUCCAUUGUUGGAGGCCGUAUCAUUUAGUUUUGUUAUAAUAUGUGAGUAUUAGGAUUUUGGUCCAUUUGUCUGUUACUAGUUAUGGGGCCCGAAUCAGCCUCUCCAAAAAAAAAAAAAAAACUUAGGAGUAAAGCUGCCUACCAAUCUUCUCUUUUAGACCCCACGAAAGUGGGAGCUUUGUGGACUGAGGACUAUUUUUUUGGUCUGUAACUAGUCAGCACCAAUUCUGAAAAUUCAAACUUCAGUAGGCAUGACCAUAUGCUUAUGCCAUCCACAAUUUCAUAGAGCAGGAAGUUUUGAAAUGGAUUUGAAUUUGCUGAUAGUCGUAGGUUCAAGGUCCUUUGCUUUCUUUUUUAAAUUGUUGCUAAUAGAUUGUCUCAAUUUUCAUAAUCUCGUAGAAAUGUUCGGAAUUUUAAGUAGAUUUCAAAUAUGACAUCUAGUUUGCUAUGAAAGAUCUCAUCUCCAUUAUGGUUGGAAUUGGUGGACAACAUAUCUUAAUUUAAAGAGUGCAUGGAAAGGAGGAUAAUGUUACCUUCUAGGUUGAUCAAUCAGUAGAUUUAGCACUUUGGAAUGAAUUUGGGAGGUCUCUAAUCGGGUGGCAACAACAAUUUAUUUUGUUAGGACUUAUUUGUUGUAAUGUUGUUAAUAAAGCUCUUUUGUUUUAUCUCCUUACUUGGGCAUGCUAUUUUGUAGCUUUGACCAUG